GCGGGAGCCGGCGGCUGGGGCGAUGGAGCCGAGCCCCGCCGUGUCCCCCGGGCCUUCUCGCUCCUUCAAGGAGGAGCUGCUCUGCGCCGUCUGCUACGACCCUUUCCGCGACGCCGUGACUCUGCGCUGCGGCCACAACUUCUGCCGCGGGUGUGUGACCCGCUGCUGGGAGGUGCAGGUGGCCCCUACCUGCCCGGUGUGCAAGGACCGCGCGGCCCCCGGCGACCUGCGCACCAACCACACCCUCAACAACCUGGUGGAGAAGCUGCUGCGCGAGGAGGCCGAGGGCGCGCGCUGGACAGGCCACCGCUCCCCGCGCCUCUGCCGCCUGCACCGCGGCCAGUUCAACCUCUUCUGCCUCGAGGACAAGGAGCUGCUGUGCUGCUCGUGCCAGGCCGACCCCCGGCACCAGGGGCACCGCGUGCAGCCGGUGAAGGACACUGCCCACGACUUUCGGGUAAGCGCGACCCGGGUGCGGGAGGUGGCCGAGCGCGCACGUGGACUGGAACCCAGCAUCCCCGACCCCGCUGCUCCCGCCACUCCAGCCGGCCAGAGCUGGGUGUGCCCGGUCCUGCCUCUCUUCCUGCUGCCAGCUGGCUGCUGCCUCCUCGGGGCCCCUACUCCCUGACUCUGGUAACCCGCAGAGGCUGCCUUCUUCAUCAGGGCUAGCCCAGGAGGCCUGAGAUGGGAGAAGAGAGAAUGUCAACAGGAAUUGUGAGAACUGGGGUUGUAGGGUGUUCUCAAGACAGUCCCGCCCACCUCUGAAGGGCUGAGGCCACGCACCUUUUCUACCAGCCGGGUGGGGCCGGUAGGAACAAGGUGUGGGUAAGCCCAGGAACCCUGGAACUGGGCACACUCAGGGUAGAGGUGCAGCACCCCAAGACCUGGCUGGGAUAUGGAGCCUUUAGCCUCCCCCCCCCCCUCCAUCCCUUCCCGAGCUGGCCCAAUGUGUUGUGUAGCUGUGGGGAGGUCAGCGGGUGUAUUUUCCAUCACUUUCUCAGCAUCCCCACGCCUAGAGUUCCAGUGGCUAUAAAUAGAGGGAGGAGCAACUUGUAGGGCAAAACUAACAUGGAGAAUUU